rnacentral:rRNA from 1 species
AUUGAACGCUGGCGGCAGGCCUAACACAUGCAAGUCGAACGAGUGGCGGACGGGUGAGUAAUGUCUGGGAAACUGCCUGAUGGAGGGGGAUAACUACUGGAAACGGUAGCUAAUACCGCAUACCAUCAGAUGUGCCCAGAUGGGAUUAGCUUGUUGGUGGGGUAACGGCUCACCAAGGCGACGAUCCCUAGCUGGUCUGAGAGGAUGACCGGCCACACUGGAACUGAGACACGGGCCAGACGCCUACGGGAGGCAGCAGUGGGGAAUAUUGCGAAAUGGGCGAAAGCCUGAUACAGCCAUGCCGCGUGUAUGAAGAAGGCUUUCGGAUUGUAAAGUACUGUCAGCGGGGAAGCGUUACCCGAAGAGGAAGCAACGGCUAACUCCGUGCCAGCAGCCGCGGUAAUAC